rnacentral:rRNA from 1 species
AUGCAUAUGCCUUCACCUAAUACUCCGUCAUAUUAUACAGCCCCUACACAAUUGCAAAGUUUCGGCAACACCCAUGUGCCAUUGCCGAAAGAAUCUAAAAGCAUUGGGGGGCAAUCGUAUCUGAAGUGGGCUGAAAUUGAGAAAAAGAUUAAAGCCAAUUUUGCCGCUCGCCACCAGAAACAAAAAGAAACAGAAUUGGCUCAAGUGAAAGAAGCAGUGCCAAUUGGUAGAAGCAAUGUAAAGAAAUAUGAUUCAGAACAUGAAAGUGCUCCGGUUAAAAGAGCCGAAUCAAGAAGUAUAUAUUCUGAGUCCAUCAAAUGCAAAGAGGCAAGCAUUAUUGAGAAAGGGAUGGCAAGCAUAGCAAAGCGACCAUACUUGAUUUUUCUAAAGUUAAGGGAACCUACUUCCUGCCCUAUGAGUUUCGUGCUAGAGAAAUUGAUGAACUUCAAGGACAAGAACAAGUAG